GCCCUCUGAGGAUCACACCUGGAGAGUUUCCAGUACUCUGCCAGUUUCGGCUAUGGGAGGGAGAGUCAAGCAGAGGCAGACCCAUUCCUUUCCUAGCUUAGGCGGGGGCUAACGAGUUGAAGGCAAUCUGCUACAAGU